UACGUAGGGUGCAAGCGUUAAUCGGAAUUACUGGGCGUAAAGCGUGCGCAGGCGGCUUUGCAAGACAGAUGUGAAAUCCCCGGGCUUAACCUGGGAACUGCAUUUGUGACUGCAUGGCUGGAGUGCGGCAGAGGGGGAUGGAAUUCCGCGUGUAGCAGUGAAAUUCGUAGAUAUUGGGAAGAACACCGGUGGCGAAGGCGGCUCACUGGCUCAUUACUGACGCUCAGGCGCGAUAGCGUGGGGAUCAAACAGG
rnacentral:rRNA from 1 species